rnacentral:rRNA from 1 species
AGGAUGAACGCUGGCGGCGUGCCUAACACAUGCAAGUCGAACGUCCUGUCUCGCAAGAGGCAGGGAGUGGCGGACGGGUGAGUACCACGUGGGUCAUCUACCGUGAGGUGAGGAAUACCGGCGAGAAAUCGCCGACAAGACCGCAUAGGCUCGAUGCAAGUCGAGCAAAGCUCUUUCGAGAGAGGGAGCGCCACACGAGGAGCCUGCGCCCGAUUAGCUAGCUGGUGGAGUAACGGUUCACCAGGGUGACGAUCGGUAGCUGGUCUGAGAGGACGAUCAGCCACACUGGGAUUGAGAACGGCCCAGACUCCUACGGGGGCAGCAGUGAGGAAUUUCGUCAAUGGGGGCAACCCUGAACGAGCAACGCCGCGUGCAGGAAGAGGUUUCGGAUCGUAAACUGCUUUUCUCGGGGAAGAGAACGGACGGUACCCGAGGAAUCGAGCCCCGGCUAACUACGUGCCAGCAGCCGC